rnacentral:lncRNA from 1 species
UUACAACGUUUCAUGCCUCCAAUAUGGUUCUGCAACAACAGUACAGAGAGAAAAGUUUCAAAAAGUAUUCUGAGCUGAUUUCUCUUCUCCUUGUGGCUGAGCGAAACAAUGAUAUGCUCAUGAGAAAUCACGAAAAUCGACCCACUGGGUCUACACCAUUGCCUGAAGUAGAUAAGGUGUAUUCCCAUUAUGCUAAGCGUGGAAAAGGCUAUGGUCUACACCAUUGCCUGAAGUGGAUGAGGUGUAUUCUCAUUAUGCUAAGCGUGGAAAAGGCCAUGACUCUAAUCGUGGUCGUGGUCG